rnacentral:lncRNA from 1 species
UAAAUCUCGAUUCUUCAAAUAAAAUAAUGUCGGCAGGCUUUGGCAAUGAGUAACCGUUACAAUUGAAUUCAAAUGCGUAAAUAAUAAGUUGCAAUAGUCCCCGAUAUGGAGAACUAUUACUUUUACAAAGUAAUAAAACUGCCUAGAAAACUAACCAAAAAGAAUCUGACUAAAAAUAAAACGUCCCCCCUUAAAGGAGAAACAACCCUCCUUUAU